rnacentral:tRNA from 1 species
CGGACUGAAGCCUGAGUUGAGUUUUGGCGCUUAGCUGUUAAUUAAGUGUUUGUAGGAGCGAGGCCUACCGGUCCAG